rnacentral:rRNA from 1 species
GUGUCAGCCGCCGCGGUAAUACAGAGGGUGCGAACGUUGCUCGGAAUUACUGGGCGUAAAGCGCGUGUAGGCGGGUCGGCAAGUCAGGCGUGAAAUCCCCAGGCUCAACCUGGGAACUGCGCUUGAAACUGCCGGUCUUGAGUAUCGGAGAGGGUGGCGGAAUUCCUGGUGUAGAGGUGAAAUUCGUAGAUAUCAGGAGGAACACCGGUGGCGAAGGCGGCCACCUGGACGAUUACUGACGCUGAGACGCGAAAGCGUGGGGAGCAAACAGGAUUAGAUACCCCAGUAGUCC